GCCAUUUAAACUCAGGCCCACCCUCGCGGCACUGGCCGCUCGCUAGAGUCCGCGCGCUCUGUAGUGCGGCGCGUUCUGUGGUACCGCGCGCGAGCUUCGCGGCUCCAGGGACUGGUGAACGCGGGGAGCGCCGCGGGCCGGAGCGGAGUCCGCGCACCUCCUCUGCCGGCGGCCGAGGGGUUCCCGGGCAGCGGACGUCAGGGCCGCGGCGGUGAUGGCGGCGGCGGAGCCCACGAGCUCUGCUCAGCCCACGCCGCAGGCCCAGGCCCAGCCGCCGCCGCCGCCGCCGCAUGGGGCGCCUUCUUCCCAUCAGUCCGCGGCGCUCGCGGGGGGCAGCAGCCGGCACGAGAAGAGCCUGGGGUUGCUCACCACCAAGUUCGUGUCGUUGCUGCAGGAGGCGCAGGACGGCGUCCUGGAUCUCAAAGCGGCUGCAGAUACUUUGGCUGUGAGGCAAAAGCGAAGAAUUUAUGAUAUCACCAACGUCUUAGAAGGAAUUGAUCUAAUUGAAAAAAAAUCAAAGAACAGUAUCCAGUGGAAGGGUGUAGGUGCUGGCUGUAAUACUAAAGAAGUUAUAGAUAGAUUAAGAUGUCUUAAAGCUGAAAUUGAAGAUCUAGAAUUGAAGGAAAGAGAACUUGACCAGCAGAAGUUGUGGCUACAGCAAAGCAUCAAAAACGUGAUGGAAGACUCCAUUAAUAACAGAUUUUCUUAUGUAACUCACGAAGACAUCUGCAGUUGCUUUAAUGGUGAUACACUGUUGGCCAUUCAGGCACCCUCUGGUACACAGCUGGAAGUACCUAUUCCAGAAAUGGGACAGAAUGGACAAAAGAAAUACCAGAUAAAUCUGAAGAGUCACUCAGGACCAAUCCAUGUGCUACUUAUAAAUAAAGAGUCCAACUCAUCUAAGCCGGUGGUUUUUCCUGUCCCCCCACCUGAUGACCUCACACAACCUUCCUCCCAGUCCUCAACUUCAGUGACUCCACCGAAAUCCACCAUGGCUGCUCAAAACCUGCCCGAGCAGCAUGUUUCUGAAAGAAGCCAGAAUUUCCAGCAGACACCAGCUACAGAAAUAUCUUCAGGUUGGUAGAAAGCCUUUGGUGUAAAUAUUUCACAUGAAAACAUGAAUAUUAUAUGAAACAGCUCAAAAAGCUAUUCUGAAUUUGUCGGUUCUUAUAUCUGAGGCAAAAUAAUCUUACUCCAUGUUUUAAUUUAGUAUCAUCUAUAGUCUAUAUGCCUGUCACUAAAAUAGAUAUAAGAUUUUAAGGCAUAUUCUUUCUAUAUUGCUAGACAUAUACAUGUAUGUAUAUAUACAUUACAGAAAUUCAGUUACAGUGUUUAGAUUGUAUAGAACUUUUGUUUCUCAGCAAAUACAAAUGUCACUGCAGAUGUAAAAAGCUGUAUUAUAACUUGAAUUGGUUAGUAAUGGGAUAUACCUCAUUGCUUCCACUUCAAGAUUUCAAAUCAAUAAUAAUGAAGCUAGAAAGAUUUUACUUGGGGUUGGGGAUUUGGCUCAGUGGUAGAGCGCUUGCCUAGGAAGCACAAGGUCCUGGGUUCGAUCCCCAGCCCCGAAAAAAAAAAAGAAGAAAAAAAAAAAAAGAUUUUACUUUGGUACGGGUCCGUUUUUAAGUUUUGUGCUGCCUAUGUAUGUUUUGUGUCUUUCUAUACAUAUUUCUAUAGUAUAGUUGAAGAGCUGCAGAAGAGAAAGUGUAGUCUUUAAGAAAGUACUAAAUAAUUUUAAUUGGAAUAUAUAAGGCCAACAAACUGUAUAUACUUUAGCUUAAACUUAGUUGGUACUUUGGCUUCCACAGAAAAUUAAGAGAAUUGAGUAUUUUCUGUGUGUCAUUUAAUAUAAGAAAGGUCUUGGGGCCACAUUAGACAUUUUGAGUAUCAGAUGAAAAUGCUAGCUAAUAAAGCCGUUAAGAUUUGUCACGGGAAAGUAGAAGUUAGAGUUGUACAGUGAUGAGCAUGGGAGUAGGGGACUUGGAAACUGUACUUUUGGAAAUCAGAAGGUAGCCUUUCAGAAGCUUCAGAGACAGAAAAUUAGAUAUUUGCAAGCAGAGCAGUUGAGAGAACAGUUACGACUAGAAUAGUGUGCUACCAAGGCGGGAUAGGAAAAAGAAAUAAUAAGCAGAUAUGAGAAAUACUCUUGAGGCAAACUAAGUUUUGAUGUAUAAGAUAGAGAUAAAAUGAGCAGGAGAAAUGAAGUGUUGUUGAGUGAUAGGAUUAUAUCACACUUGUGACACAGACUAGGUUUUAGAACAAUGGGGAGGCUUUGCGUCUCUAUGUUCAGUUUGGAAGUUUAAAGUUAAUGCCAAGAAAGUAGUUAGGUAAUCAUGUGAUUUGUCUUUCCGUAGUGUUCUAGUACUUUUACUUUUAUUCCACCCAUUAAACUAAUAAUGUGACUAUCACAUUGAAAUUUAAUUGCCCCUAUUACAUUUCUGUUUCCAACAGGAUCUAUUAGUGGAGACAUCAUUGAUGAACUGAUGUCUUCUGACGUGUUUCCUCUCUUACGGCUGUCUCCUACCCCAGCAGAUGACUACAACUUUAAUUUAGAUGAUAAUGAAGGAGUUUGUGAUCUGUUUGAUGUUCAGAUACUAAAUU